rfam:Triticum aestivum genome assembly, contig: Triticum_aestivum_CS42_TGACv1_scaffold_543746_6DS
CAAGUACUCCCUCCGUCCGGAAAUACUUGUCAUCAAGAUCAAUAAAAGGGGAUGUAUCUAGAUGUAUUUUAGUUCUAGAUACAUCUCUUUUUAUCUAUUUUGAUGACAAGUAUUUCCGGACGGAGGGAGUAAGUU